UAGAAGUCCAUUGGUGACCAUCUCAGACCCCGACUUUUCCUUACAUUGCUUACCUUACUCUAGCAGGAGAGAUGGAACGUUAGAGGAAGGGUAUGAGUGAAGAGGUGUUGUGAAGGAAAAAUAUCCAAGGCUUUGUGGAAGAAGUAACAUCUCAGCUGAGAAGAUGGUUUAGAUAUGUAGUAGUUAGGCAGGUAAGGACGUGGAGAAAGAUGUUCUAGAUAGAAGAACAACAGUUGUUAAAGUUUGGAGGCUUGGACUUAAGUUGGUCAAAUAAGACUGAAGGGAAAGAUCUUCAUUCUACAUGUGUGGGAGUUGCACCUUGUUCGCUGAAAAUGAAUGAGGAAAAUGUGGCCCUCGGUGCUGUUGACAGCCAGCUUGCAGUUUGAAGGAGUCACUGAAGAGAAGGCCAACAAAUGCAGAGGGACCAAGCUGAGAAUUCCAGAGUGACAGAGACUGCUGUGAUGCACCUAUUCCCGACAGUGUACCGAGCCCUUCAACUCAGGAAUUCUAGCUGUCAUCCCUGUUUACUUCAUAUCCAUGGCUUGGCUGAGGGCAACAACAGUGAGGACAAUUUACAAGACGCUGUGUCACUGAGGUUUGUAUGCUUUGGUAACUGGCUCAGCAUUGUGCGGCUAGACAGUGUUACCUGUGAGCCCAAACCAUGACCUCCCCAGUUUCUCUUGUGGACUCCUCACAAUUCCUGCUGUCCGUGCCUGUUUGUCACAUGUUCGUCACAAGCAUCUUGAAGUCUGCCCAGGGCCUCUGGGGGCCAGCCCCAGGCAACUCUGUUUACAAAGACAAGAGACUACAUUUGGGCAGGGUGUGGGACAUCCUCUAACCUUAUUCCUUUAUCUAACAGGUGGGAAACCUGGAGCAGGGUGAAGUCAGAAGGCUAUGUAGUUUGCAGGGUAGAAUGAGUAGGGAUUUCACAGUGUUCCAGGGCUCAAGUCCAAACUGGUAACUAGCUGAAUGACUGGGUCAAGUUGCUUAAAUGUUUGAGCGUUAAUUUAAUUUACUGUGACACACAGAUUAUGUGUAUGUGCACACUCAUGUGUGCACAUGCCUGCCUGCAGUAGGUUCCAGUAACUGACACCUGGGUCACUGUGACUGGCUGGCCAGUCAUGGCUACUCAUCCAGACACCAGGCUGGGCCUCAGCCAGCCAAAGGUCAGACUGCACCAAGCAGGGGAAAGAAGGAAGUGACUCGGAUGCCCACCGGGCUUUCCCACCUGCACUCCCUCUCUACGUGAUCUUGUCAAUCCCAGUGGCUUGCUGUAUUGUCAGAGCUUGGUCAGGGGAACCUCUGAAGCCUCUGGAGGAGUCAUAAGCAGUAAUGGUUUGAUGCAGAAGAUUAGAGCCUUACAGGGCUGUUGGAAGGCCUGGAAGCUAGGUUAGGGAACGCGCCCCCCAUUGGUCUGCAUUACUCAAAGUGCCCCAGGCUGAAAUGUCACUGUGAGUUUCCAGAGCCCAUGAGAAGCCAAGAGCAUUGACCAGAAGCUCCAGGCACACGACUCGCUGGACAUGCUGGACACUGCUGCAUUUGCCCACUGACCACAGGUCUGCUGACAUGAUGUUGGGGAGUGCUUGUUUCCAAAUCACGUUCAAGGGCUGUGUGAGGCUGGCUCUGACCCAUACCACACUGGGAAGGCUUCUGGCUCCUCCCCUGUGAUAUAAAGAGAAGGUAACAGAAGAUGGCAUUGAGACAGAAUUAUAUCAAUGCUGACAACUAAGGAGGAUGGCCCGUAUUAAUUUUUAAGAUAUAUUGUUUUUCAGUUCUCACCACA